rnacentral:tRNA from 1 species
UGGGGUGUCGCCAAAUGGUGAAGGCACACGGCUUUGACCCGUGCAUAUGUAGGUUCGAGCCCUACCACCCCAGCCA